rnacentral:tRNA from 1 species
GCAUUGGUGGUUCAGUGGUAGAAUUCUGCGCCGCAGCGUGAGAGCCGGAUUCGAUUCCGGCCAAUGCA